rnacentral:rRNA from 1 species
UACAGAGGUCUCAAGCGUUGUUCGGAUUCAUUGGGCGUAAAGGGUGUGUAGGCGGCGCCGUAAGUCGGGUGUGAAAUUUCGGAGCUUAACUCCGAAACUGCAUUCGAUACUGCGGUGCUUGAGGACUGGAGAGGAGACUGGAAUUCCUGGUGUAGCAGUGAAAUGCGUAGAGAUCAUGAGGAAGACCAGUGGCGAAGGCGGGUCUCUGGACAGUUCCUGACACUGAGACACGAAGGCCAGGGGAGCAAACGGG